UAUUCCUACGGGGCGCAGCAGUGGGGAAUAUUGCGCAAUGGGCGAAAGCCUGACGCAGCGACGCCGCGUGAGGGAUGAAGGUUUUCGGAUCGUAAACCUCUGUCAGAAGGGAAGAAAGUGCGUGGUGCCAAUCAGCCGCGUAUUGACGGUACCUUCAAAGGAAGCAACGGCUAACUCCGUGCCAGCAGCCGCGGUAAUACGGAGGGUGCGAGCGUUAAUCGGAAUUACUGUGCGUACAGCGCACGUAGGCUGGUGUGUAAGUCAGGGGUGAAAUCC
rnacentral:rRNA from 1 species